rnacentral:rRNA from 1 species
CUACGGGUGGCAGCAGUGGGGAAUAUUGCACAAUGGACGAAAGUCUGAUGCAGCAACGCCGCGUGGAGGAUGACACAUUUCGGUGCGUAAACUCCUUUUAUAUAGGAAGAUAAUGACGGUACUAUAUGAAUAAGCACCGGCUAACUCCGUGCCAGCAGCCGCGGUAAUACGGAGGGUGCAAGCGUUACUCGGAAUCACUGGGCGUAAAGAGCGUGUAGGCGGGUUAAUAAGUUGGAUGUGAAAUCCUAUGGCUCAACCAUAGAACUGCAUCCAAAACUGUUAACCUAGAGUAUGGGAGAGGUAGAUGGAAUUUCUGGUGUAGGGGUAAAAUCCGUAGAGAUCAGAAGGAAUACCGAUUGCGAAGGCGAUCUACUGGAACAUUACUGACGCUGAGACGCGAAAGCGUGGGGAGCAAACAGGAUUAGAUACCCGUGUAGUC